rnacentral:rRNA from 1 species
GACGAACGCUGGCGGCGUGCCUAAUACAUGCAAGUAGAACGCUGAAGGAGGAGCUUGCUUCUCUGGAUGAGUUGCGAACGGGUGAGUAACGCGUAGGUAACCUGCCUGGUAGCGGGGGAUAACUAUUGGAAACGAUAGCUAAUACCGCGUAAUAGUAGCUGUUGCAUGACAUUUGCUUGAAAGGUGCAAUUGCAUCACUACCAGAUGGACCUGCGUUGUAUUAGCUAGUUGGUGGGGUAACGGCUCACCAAGGCGACGAUACAGAGCCGAACGGAGAGGGUGAGCGGCCACACUGGGACUGAGACACGGCCCAGACUCCUACGGGAGGCAGCAGUAGGGAAUCGGCGGCAAUGGGCGGAAGUCUGACCGAGCAACGCCGCGUGAGGGAAGAAGGUUUUCGGAUCGGAAAGCUCGGUUGUAAGGGAAGAACGAGUGUGAGAGUGGAAAGUUCACACUGUGACGGUAACUUACCAGAAAGGGACGGCUAACUACGUG